rnacentral:rRNA from 1 species
UCAGACGAUGCGUCAUGCAUAUCAAUAAGCGGAGGAAAAGAAACUAACAAGGAUUCCCUUAGUAACGGCGAGUGAAGCGGGAAGAGCUCAAAUUUGAAAUCUUCAAGGUUUUACCUUGACGAAUUGUAGUUUAAAGAAGUGUUUUCUGUUGAAGUUUUGGUAAAAGUUCUUUGGAAUAGGACAUCAUAGAGGGUGAGAAUCCCGUAUUUGACCAUUAUUUUCAGCUGUGUGAUACACUUUCAAAGAGUCGGAUUGUUUGGGAAUGCAGUCCAAAAUGGGUGGUAAAUUUCAUCUAAAGCUAAAUAUUGGCGAGAGACCGAUAGCGAACAAGUACCGUGAGGGAAGACGAAAAGAACUUUGAAAAGAGAGUUAAACAGUACGUGAAAUUGUCAAAAGGGAAGCGUUUGACACCAGUGUUGUUUUCUCGAAAAUCAAUUAAAAAGAGUUAGAUUUUGUUGUGUAUUGACCUUAACAGCUUGCAUUUCAAUUUUCUUGCUUUUUUUAAUGCACUUUUCGUUUAACAAGUCAACAUCAGUUUCUUUUGUUGUAAAAAGGUCAUUGGAAGGUGGCUUUCUUUUCGGAGAAAGUGUUUAUAGCCUUUGACUCCUGCAAUCGGAGAGACUGAGGUCUGCAGCGUAGAUCCUUCGGGGUUAGAUACAUUUGUGCUAAGUUAUAGCUUUUUAUAGACAACUUGUUGACUAUGAUUAGUCUUGUAGCUUACUCGCUUAUGCUAUUUUACCUACGCUUAGGAUGUUGAGUCGUAGAGCACGCAG